UCUAAAAAUAAAACUAUGUGUUAUCUGUCAGCAUCAAUGGUGUCUCGAGUAAUUGGAUUACUAAAAUCGAGUUGCAGAAUCUCUUUGUUUGCCUCCAAUCACGUCUUAUAGCUUUCUCUUCUAAUAAUCCGUUCCGAGUUAUUCACCAUGCAUUUAUCACCUUAAUAACUCCGUAGGCGACGUGAACCACGAUCUGACUUUAAUGUGAGUUAUACCUCGGAACUAUACCUAUAAAAAGCUGGCCGAGGCUCCUCCACCGUCCAAGUGCCGUUGCUCAGAUUCUAGAAAGCCAGAAAUGUCCGAGUGGAGGGGAACUGAUGUCUCUUGAUAUGCUCUUACUGGAUUCAAAGAUAAUUAUGUUCUUAAAUUCAUGUUCAGAUUGCUUUAUGUUCACAAAACUCAUGUUCAAAGUUUUCUUAAGCGAUGUUAGAAAUGUUCUUAAGCUUAUGUUCAUAGUCUUCUUAUGUUAUUAAACCCAUGUUCAUAGUGUUCUUAUACUAAACAUUAUGAAACUGUUUAUAUACAGAUUUCAAUUGACCUA